CUGAGCAAAGGAGAGCCUAAGUAAAGAGACAAAUGUCUUCAUAUGCAUCUUUGUGCAGACUUGCCAGGAGAAGCACAGAAGAAGCACCGGGUGCCCUGUCAGCACCUCAGAGAGUUCUCUAAGAAGUCUGAGAGGCUGGGACCCGUGUCUGCUGAAGAAAAGCAGAAACACGAAGACAUUGGAAGGCUGAUGAGACACGUUACAAAAGAGAAAUGAAAACCUAUAUUCCACCCCCCAAAAGGGGGAGACCAAGAAAAGUUUGAGGACCACAAUGUACCCAAGAGGUCCCCUUCAGAAUUCUUCUUGCUAUGUUCUGAAUAAUACCCUCCCCCACAAAUAAAAAAAGACCAUCCUGGCUUAUCCACGGGUGAUGCUGCAAAGAAACCAGGAGAGCUGUGGGGGAGCGCUGCGGAGGACAGGCAGCCCUGUGAGAAGGCUGCGGAGCUGAAGGAAAACUGCAGGAAGAGGGGGGCACUCAAGGCUGACACGGGCAGGAGGAUGAAGAGGAAGACAAGGAGGAAGAUGAAGAGGAAAAGCAGGACGAAGAUGAUGAAUAAGAU
rnacentral:lncRNA from 1 species